CAGCAGCCGCGGGAACACGGAGGGGGCUAGCGUUGUUCGGAAUUACUGGGCGUAAAGCGCACGUAGGCGGCUUGUUAAGUUAGAGGUGAAAGCCCGGAGCUCAACUCCGAAAUUGCCUUUAAGACUGCCGAGCUAGCAGGUGAGAGAGGUAAGUGGAAUUCCGAGUGUAGAGGUGAAAUUCGUAGAUAUUCGGAAGAACACCAGUGGCGAAGGCGGCUUACUGGCUCAUACUGGACGCUGAGGUGCGAAAGCGUGGGGAGCAAACAGGAUUAGAUACCCCCGUAGUCCCUGUCUCUUAUAC
rnacentral:rRNA from 1 species